rnacentral:tRNA from 1 species
UUUAAUAUGGCAGAAUAGUGCAAUGAACUUAAAAUUCAUAUAUAAAAUUAAUUAAUUUUUAUUAAAA